CGGUACAUCGGUGACAGGUGGUGCAUGGUUGUCGUCAGCUCGUGUCGUGAGAUGUUGGGUUAAGUCCCGCAACGAGCGCAACCCCUAUUGUUAGUUGCCAUCAUUCAGUUGGGCACUCUAGCGAGACUGCCGGUAAUAAACCGGAGGAAGGUGGGGAUGACGUCAAAUCAUCAUGCCCCUUAUGACCUGGGCUACACACGUGCUACAAUGGUUGGUACAACGAGUUGCGAGUCGGUGACGGCGAGCUAAUCUCUUAAAGCCAAUCUCAGUUCGGAUUGUAGGCUGCAACUCGCCUACAUGAAGUCGGAAUCGCUAGUAAUCGCGGAUCAGCACGCCGCGGUGAAUACGUUCCCGGGCCUU
rnacentral:rRNA from 1 species